UUCCAGCCAGAGUCGGGCAGAUGUGAGCCUUUUGUCUGCACACAUGACCUGCAGAAGAAGGCCAUUGCACAUGUACUGGCACACACACACAAAUACACACACACGCAUGUACACGCCAGGCGACAGCCGCUCUAAAAGUGACAGCUGUCGCUAUGAUGGAGCACAGGGGGAAGGGGAAGUGAAGGCUAAGCCAUGGCGCAACAUGGUGUCGAGGAGACCUGCUAUUCAUUUUCAGCUUAAUAUGUUCCAGCCCAUUGGAAAAACAUUGCAGCAUAUAAUGAAAAAUGGCAGUUCUUCGCAGAGGAUACCAAAAUAAUAAGUCGUCCGUGCUGUCCCGCAAUUGGCUGGCGACUCGUCCAAGGUUUAAUGUGCCAUCUCCACAAGUCAGCUGGGCUCCAGCUCACCCGUGACCCUAAUGAGGACAAUGGAUGGAUGCAUGGAUGGAAGUUGUCCAUGCAUAGAACCGCUUGAACCCAAAUCAAAAUUGUCAAGCCUAAGUUGGACUGGCAGUUCUGACAAAUCCUGACCGUGCCAGCGCGUGAGGGUGAAGAGUCUAAAGUGCUGCUUGUUUUCCCUGGAAAGGCUCAAGGUGCUGACAGCGCGUCCAGGAAAAGGUUCCACGCAACAGAUGGAAAAGGCAAAAUCCAUUUUCUCACCCUCCGUGCAAGUCAUGUAUGGGAAGAGGAUCAUAGACUUACUGUUUGACGUCACGUCCACCAAUCCAAUCUUCUAACCUGCCUUUCACAAGACAUCAUCUUCAGGCGCCCCCUACUGCAAGCUGACAGUCGUCCCUCUCCUGGCUGACAGCAGUGAGCGCACCUUCAGCCAUUCAUCAGUGUCACCCCGUCGCCGCCGGGUACGGCCCGGAGCCCAUCGCGUCUUCAUUACAGUCCAAAUAAAUCUGAGGUGUAAUUGGCUUGGUGACAACCCUGACAAUGUGACACCUGCACUUCUCCGCUUCCUCCACCGUGCUGGCCUGGAGUCAGCUGGAGCUUCUUCAGUAUCUGGAGCGACCAAUCAGAGCAGGUCAUUGGUGUUUCACAUUUUAUUUCAGCAUUGAGCUUUGAUUGCCUUGACCACAUGUCUUAAGGAGUCCAACUUCACUUCCUACUGUGAGUCUCAAGUGAGCAGCGCAGAAAAUAGAUGGACGGGUUGGACAAUUAGGCGGAAGUGUUCACAAUAAAGUAUUAGAAAGCCCAUUAGCAGCACUUUCCAGCGCCGCGGAGCCAGCGGCAACCCGAUAUCAUCGGCGAAUCCCAAUGAAGAUGAUGGCCAGAUGACAAGUGAGUGAAGGAGGGAAGGGUCAAAUCCAAAACACAUGUCAACACAGUGCAAGAGGUCCUUCCCUCCAGUGACGUUCUUCUGCCCGUGACAAAGGACGUGGAAAGACGUGGAGGGUGUCUUCUGCAUAUCUACCACUAGGAGUGCUGCAGCUUAGCAGUUGGAGAGCACUGAAUGUUCCACAGCUGCUGCCGCUGCCUCACUCUGAUCAUUCGCAGAGGAGCUGACACUCCAUAAAUGCACACGUUCUUAAUCAUCCACAUUGUUGCUUUUGAUUGGGGAACAAUUGAUUCCACAUGGUUCGAACAUCUAUUAUAUGGGACACGUAACCUGGAAUACUAGAGUUAGGAUUGGACAUAGUUGUAUACUUCCUCUUUGUGUCAAUGGCAGCCAAAAACACAACAGUGGUUACACACAAACACACACACUGAUCCACAGCCCCUCCCUCCCCUGUCACUGCCAGUGGUCCUGCCACCAAUGUUGAGCAGGUGACCUUUUCUUUCGGCUAAUCCACACCAAAAAGCCCUAAUUACUGCUGCCGCUCCACCAACCUCUGCUGUCCCAAUAAUCAAUACAGCCGAUUGACCGGCAGAUCACCCCGUCAACACGCCGGCACCAAACAUGUGGCUUAACAUCAUGUGUGCACAUGAUGGCAUUUGCAAAGAAGACAAAGUUUCCUCAUCUGUGUUGUUGUUGACAAACGGGCCGUGAAAUGCUUAUAGACACUACAGGAGCAUCAACGACAACACACACAAAAAAAAAAAAAAAUCAGAAACAAUGUUAUCAGGCAGGAGAAGGAAGUUCCAUUUUUGAUUGUAGCUACAACAACACAGCCAUAUCAGUGAGAACUUCAUUUCCUCCCAUGUUCUUUCACUCCUUGUCACUCUCGCUGACAGACUUUGAUUGCACGAGACAAGUUAAUGAAAAGCUACAGCGGAGGAAGAAGGCUGCACCUGCCAGUGAGCCAGCCGGCGUGCAUACCUGCAGGCGCGUUUGGGAGCUUGUCUUCGGGUCCUCGGGUGGUAUCGCAGCCAUGACGAGGGACUUGCAGAGUGAUGAGAAGUACAGGAUACGCUUGCUUAAUGUGGCAAAAGGUAAAGGCUGAGCUAGCACGUGAGCGCCAUUAUUCUUUCUGUGCAUGGAGCAGACAGGUGGCUCAGCCUUGGGCUUUGUAUGUGGAGUAAGCCACUGUAGCACAGUUUUUUUUUCUUCCACGAUAUGUUAGCAAUUACGACCUCGAGGCGAUGUGGCAACACGUGCUACUUCAGCCGUCAGAAGAACAAAGCCUCAGGUCCUCCAUAUCAAAGUCUUGGCUCAGACUGCAGAGUGUUAUUGACAAGAGUGCUGCUGGCGCUGCAGUUUAGACGUAGAGGCCACGGUUCAGCUGUGUGUGUUUAACAGCUUUGCAAAGUAACCACAAGCAAAAUGAACCAACCGGACAAUGUCGGCGGGUUGAACCAAGGAAAGAUUUGACGAUAUUUGAUGCGUUGUGAUAAAUCAUCAAUACGUGAAAGCACGACCUAUUUCCGAUCAGUUUUUUUUUUUUUUAAAUAAUUACUAGUUCUACUUUGCUUUCCAUGCAAGCAGAGAUGUCAAAGUCUUGCUCAAGGGCACAUCAACAGCAGACCAACUCCAAAUCCUUUUCACAAUCUCGUGCUAACGAAAUGGAAACUUUAAUGCGAGGUUGUUUGGGAGGUUGUCAUAGCAACAACAAUGCCACCCGUUUGUUUGUUUGCAUUGGUUAAACUCCGAGGUCACGCUUGAAUGGCACAAGAUCUACCAAGGAGGUGAUGGAUGUGUCCAAAACAUUGGAAGUGACUCAUUCAUUUAGUAGGUGAAAUGUUAAAAGU